rnacentral:lncRNA from 1 species
GAUCUAUCCUAUGAAGAGGUACCAAUAGGCAUUGUAGACUGGAAAAGUAGAGUACUCCGCAAUCGAAAAAUUCCAUUCAUUAAAGUCCUAUGGCAGAACCACACAUAGGAAGAGGUCACUUGGGAACUAAAAUUAAGCUUCAGGGUCCAAUACCCCCCAGUUAUUCGACUGAGUAAGAGAGUAACCAAUUUGAGGGACCAAAUUUUCUUAAAUGGGAGAGAGUUGUAAUAUCCAAGCUUGAAAAUUACC